rnacentral:rRNA from 1 species
AUUGAACGCUGGCGGCAGGCCUAACACAUGCAAGUCGAACGAGUGGCGGACGGGUGAGUAAUGUCUGGGAAACUGCCCGAUGGAGGGGGAUAACUACUGGAAACGGUAGCUAAUACCGCAUACCAUCGGAUGUGCCCAGAUGGGAGUGGCUAGUAGGGUGGGUAACGGCUCACCUAGGCGACGAUCCCUAGCUGGUCUGAGAGGAUGACCAGCAACCCUGGAAAGAAGAUACGGGCCAGACUCCUACGGGAGGCAGCAGUGAGGAAUAUUGCACAAUGGGCGCAAGCCUGGUGCAGCCAUGCCGCGUGUAUGAAGAAGGCCUUCGGGUUGUUAAGGACUUUCAGCGAGGAGGCGUUACUCGCAGAAGAAGCACCGGCUAACUCCGUGCCAGCAGCCGCGGUAAUUC